AUGCAUACACAUUAUCUAGGUCGGUGUCACACACUCAUGAAUAAUGUGAAUAAGCUGAGCCGGGUGUACAGAACGCCGACAGUGACAAGGUUAGGGACGGGUGGAGACGGUUCGCUGUGCUAGGGAUAUCUAACUUCUGGUUGACUGCGGUCUGUGGAAGGUAUCGUGCAUUAUGUUUAUACAAGAGGGCUCCGAAGGUACUUCGGUCUCAGUCUGUUCGAUAGAUUAGGAUGUCAUGCAGGCCAUGCCAAAAAGUUGGGAAACUGUACACAAAAACACAAGCCAAAGUACCGAAUGUACUGAUUCAACACUUGACCUAUUCUGACUUGAGGGGCAGAAGGAAACACAACCCUAAUGCAAAAACUGCACUCAGAAGGAUUCAAGUUUGUUUGUCAGCCCUUCGUAACACAUCCGGUGGCAAACUGAUCAUUCAUGUCAGUGGACAAGUUUACAGUGAUCAUUUCCUUGGCUAUUUCGAUGAGUUUCUUGAAGAAAGUCUGAACAAUUUGAUCUGUGAUGGACAACUAUUCAUUACAGCAUACGAGAGACACUGGCUGCGGGAAUUACCAACGUUUAAGAAUUUCAAAGACUUCAUCGUCAUAUCUGUUACUCAAACCAAAGGAGUGGCGACGGUUGAUUUCAAAACGAAAGUGUGUUCAGAUCUGAAAGUUGAACGUCCAUCAGCACUCAAUAUUCUGUCUAUUUUGAGUGACUCGCUCUCAUCUCGAGUGAAACCUGCAGAAUUGAGAGGUAUCGAACCAGUACCCUAUGAAAGUCGACAUGUGCAGCUAAAAACUUUCAAACCAAACGAAGAUGACAGGAAGAUUAUAGACAAAGAUCCCGAGAGAUUUGCAUACUAUGUGUGGGAUAAGCUUCGAUUUCGAGAAUAUCUGAGCUGUAUGACAAAAAUUGAAAGCGGGGGUUCUUAUUAUUUGGGCAUUACUGAAAAGAAGAAUACGUUCAAGACGUCUAGUGAAGUACAGUAUGAAAGUCUAGUUCCUCACAUUGAAGGUUUUGAACUUCAGUUUGGUGUUCAGGAGCUAGAGGAGCAACUAUAUCGUGUAAUAACAUCAAGUGUUACAGUUUUAGUUGAAAAUAGUUCCUUUAUCGACAUUCUACGAGAGCUUGUUCAAUUCAAGUUCUAUACUGUGGCCACGGAUAAAUACGUUCUUGAAAUUGCAGUUGGUUGUUUGACAGGAGGUAUUGUGUUCUUUGACAAGCAAGGCCCAGAAGCGUAUCAAAUAUUGCCGAUUGGAAAUGUUGAAAGAUUGACCAAAGAGGAUUGGUUGCACAGAAUGCGGAGUACGCUAGAUGACAUUUGUAAAUCAACGUACAACAAAGGUUAAACCUCUUACCAUUUUUAUCAGCAAGAGAGUCAGUUGGAACUUUCACGAAAACGGAUAAAAACUCAGAACUAAAUGUAGAACACUCUGCUGUGCUUUCUAAAUAGUUAAAGGAACGAGAUUGGGAAAACGUAACUUGUUUGGUGUGCAACAUAUGCAUGAACAUGGCUUCAAACUCGGAUGGAACCGAUUCAGAUAUAAAUACUGGCAAUCUGUAUGAGAACAUUCGCUGUGAGUACACGAAGGGAUACUCCUCUACCUUUGAUAGUAGCAGUGAUUCGGAGUCUCGGGCCCGUUACCGCUCUGAUUGUGAUGGGGUUUCAGGUCUUCGUGAUGAAAUCCUUCUUAGAGGUAUGAGUGGACGAAGGACGGAACCGAACAAUAAGGAUUCCAAAUCGGAUGUCAAACCGCAGCCGCCUGCUGAAUGUGAUCAGAGGGGCCUCUUUCAAAUAAUCAUGGACAUGCAACGCCAGAUCAUGGAUGUCAAAGCUUCUGUAGACUCACUUCGAGAGGAGGUUCGGGUAAACCAUGAGCAGAUCAUGAAGCAGUUGGUGAGGAUUGAAGGAAGUAAUGAGGAAAGCGUCAAGAGACCUCGCAGUCGGCGACCCAGCGUCACAAGGAUUUCUCCUGAAGACACGUCUAUUGACAGCCAAAUAUUGACAACACACCUACUGCAGGUUCCGCUACAUGGACAUGACGUGCACCGUAAAAGAAGUCCUGGAGGAAGCGAAACUGAUGAUUAAACAGAGGGUUUGUCAUCUCGCAUUUAAUAGACAAGACAUGAAGACAAGUGUUGACAGUACUUCACAGUUGAGUCAAAUGCAGGUCGAAUGUGACAAUAUUUAAUGUUUAAUCAGCAGCCACCUGUCUGUCUUUUUCAUUAAGUCCAGACAGAGUUACGUCCCCUGCCACAAACCUACCUGUAUGGUGCUGGUUUCAAAUCACAAUUUCAUUUCUGUUUUGCUUUUUCGCCAGCACCAUACACAUGCUACUGUUUCUUCGAAAGGGAAAAUGGCAAAGAAAUGCAUCACUUUGGACUCAGCUUUCAUCUAAAUCUGUAGUUAUUUUAUAGUGUUCGCACGUCACGCCGAAGACCCGGGUUCUAUUCCCCACAUGGGUAUAGACUGGCGCUCGGCAUUAAUGGGUUCAAAAAGGACUG
rnacentral:misc_RNA from 1 species